rnacentral:tRNA from 3 species
GGCGCCAUCGUCUAGUGGCCUAGGACAGUGGGUUUUCAGCCCAUUAAUCGAGGGUUCGAAUCCCUCUGGCGUCACCA